rnacentral:rRNA from 1 species
UGAGCGGCAAAGCUCAAUUUGAAAUCUGGUACCUUCGGUAGCCCGAGUUGUAAUUUGGAGAGGGCAACUUUGGGGCCGUUCCUUGUCUAUGUUCCUUGGAACAGGACGUCAUAGAGGGUGAGAAUCCCGUGUGGCGAGGAGUGCGGUUCUUUGUAAAGUGCCUUCGAAGAGUCGAGUUGUUUGGGAAUGCAGCUCUAAGUGGGUGGUAAAUUCCAUCUAAAGCUAAAUAUUGGCGAGAGACCGAUAGCGAACAAGUACAGUGAUGGAAAGAUGAAAAGAACUUUGAAAAGAGAGUGAAAAAGUACGUGAAAUUGUUGAAAGGGAAGGGCAUUUGAUCAGACAUGGUGUUUUGUGCCCUCUGCUCCUUGUGGGUAGGGGAAUCUCGCAUUUCACUGGGCCAGCAUCAGUUUUGGUGGCAGGAUAAAUGCAUA